rnacentral:lncRNA from 1 species
ACCUGGAAUCAUCAGAAAUAGACUAUAGAUUAAAAAGCAUAACAAAAAGAAAAUUUAUGUUAGGGGCCAGAAAAUACUUCCUUAAUCUUGAUGCAUCCUUCUAUCAUCAUAGGGACUCGCUUUAAAGAACUGGAGACAUCAGCUCAGCAAAAGCCCUCAAAAAUAAUGAGCUAUUGCUGCUCGAAUAUUUAUUUCUUCAGCUCUAGUUUAAGCAAAGGGCUGACACCCUGAUAUUUUAAGACAGAAGCAGGACAGAUAUAAUUUGAUGAUAAUGCAGUAGUUCGAAUACAGACACCAUGCUUGCAUUUCAUAUAACCUGUUCACAUUUCCUAAAGGGAUAGGAUGCAUUAGUUGGCAUGUACCACUGGUGUUACCUCUGUUGCAACCACGGUGCGACUACUGUUCCCACUCUGACCAUAUGAAUUUUCUCCAUCCUCUUCCCAUCUGCCAUCCACACCCUCCAUCUACUGGUUCUAGUUCUAACCUGGCUUCUAAUGCUGUGUGAUCCUUGGUGAAUUGCUUCACCACUCUGGGCCCCACAAGUGCAUCUAUACAGUGAGAGAAUGGGAUUCGAUCAGCAGUCCCAUACCCGAAUGCAGGGCUCAGAAACAAACAAACAUAAAAAUAAGACUGAUACACUUCGUUUACAUAUUAAAUACUAACUAAAAUAUUCUUC